CCUACGGGAGGCAGCAGUGAGGAAUAUUGGUCAAUGGACGAGAGUCUGAACCAGCCAAGUAGCGUGAAGGAUGACUGCCCUAUGGGUUGUAAACUUCUUUUAUAUGGGAAUAAAAUGUUCCACGUGUGGGAUUUUGUAUGUACCAUAUGAAUAAGGAUCGGCUAACUCCGUGCCAGCAGCCGCGGUAAUACGGAGGAUCCGAGCGUUAUCCGGAUUUAUUGGGUUUAAAGGGAGCGUAGGUGGAUUGUUAAGUCAGUUGUGAAAGUUUGCGGCUCAACCGUAAAAUUGCAGUUGAAACUGGCAGUCUUGAGUACAGUAGAGGUAGGCGGAAUUCGUGGUGUAGCGGUGAAAUGCUUAGAUAUCACGAAGAACUCCGAUUGCGAAGGCAGUUCACUGGACUGCAACUGACACUGAUGCUCGAAAGUGUGGGUAUCAAACAGGAUUAGAUACCCUAGUAGUC
rnacentral:rRNA from 1 species